GACGAACGCUGGCGGCGCGCUUAACACAUGCAAGUCGAGCGAGAACCAUGGCUUCGGCCAUGGGGACAGCGGCGAACGGGUGAGUAACACGUGGGUAAUCUGCCCUCGACACUGGGAUAGCCCGGGGAAACCCGGAUUAAUACCGGAUAGCCUCUCGAGCCCUCGGGCUUGUGAGAAAAGAUGGCUUCGGCUUUCGGUUGAGGAGGAGCCUGCGGCGGAUUAGCUUGUUGGUGAGGAACGGCCCACCAAGGCGACAAUCCGUAGCUGGUCUGAGAGGACGAUCAGCCACACUGGGACUGAGACACGGCCCAGACUCCUACGGGAGGCAGCAGUGGGGAAUCUUGCGCAAUGGGCGAAAGCCUGACGCAGCGACGCCGCGUGAGGGAAGAAGGCCUGGU
rnacentral:rRNA from 1 species